rnacentral:rRNA from 1 species
UACGAAGGGGGCGAGCGUUGUUCGGAUUUACUGGGCGUAAAGGGCGCGCAGGCGGUUCUGUUUGUCGAGUGUGAAAGCCCCGGGCUCAACCUGGGAACUGCGCUCGAAACGGCGGAACUAGAGUUCGGGAGAGGAGAGUGGAAUUCCCAGUGUAGAGGUGAAAUGCGUAGAUAUCGAGAGGAACACCUGCGGCGAAGGCGGGUAGCUGGGCCGACACUGACGCUGAGGCGCGAAAGCCAGGGGAGCGAACGGG